GAGUCUGGAGGAGCGGGAGGAAAUAACACGUGUUGGUGCUGACGGUGUUUUGCCAUAGUUGAGUUCUUGGUUUUGAUGAACAACACCUGGGCGAACUGGGCCUGUUCUGAGGAGAGACGACUAAAAGGGGGCUUCAUCAAUGUCUAUGAGUAUCUGACGGGACCGCGUCAAGAGUUUGGAUCCGGGCUCUGCCUGAGGGUGCCCAGCAAUGGGACAAGAGGCAACAGAAACUUAUGCACAGGAAGUUCCACCUGAAUAUAAGGACCAACCUCUUUACUGUGCAGGUUAUGGCGCAGUGGAAUAGAUGGUCCAGAGAGGCUGUGGCGUCUCCCUCACUGGAAAUACUCAAGAACGGUCUGGACAUGGAGUGCCAUGUGCAUUAGGAUAGCCCUGCUUGGGCAGGGAGGCUGGACCAGGUGAUCCACUCUGGUCCUUUCCAACCUGAAACAUUCCGCUGUAUCACACUAUAGUUGUAUCAGUUUUACCUGCACCACGUAGUGGAGCUGUGUACAAACACAGGCACUCACAUACAGGCUCCUUGCUAAGAAAAAGAGAAGUAUGGGUGAUAUUUUAAAACCUACUUUGUUAUUUUUCAGAAGAAAGUGUAAAGAGCAGAGCAGUUUUUUUUCCAUGUGUUUGCCGGCAAAUAAAACAGUAAUGGCUAAGCAGAGGUUUCACUGAAGAUUCAAAAAAGUCAUCCACAUCAGUGUGUAUGGAAGCAGCUAAAUAUUUAUAUAUGCGUGUACCUUAAAGUAUUAGCUUUAGUCAUAUUUGGGUGGAUUUCAUUGGUUUUCAGUAGGUGUCACUAAAGCUCCAAAAGAACCCAGAUUUUCACUCUUCUGGCUGUUUUCUGAAGUCUGGAAUCUUUACCAAGUUUCAUCACACCACUCUUGCAGAAGUGCACAGUCUAAUCUGAUCCACUCCAUCAAAUUGAAAUAACUCCUCUACUCGAAUGAUUGAGAUGACCCUUGCAUAUAUCUGUGCAAAGCCUGGACUUUCCUCUUUCUUGCAAAAAGUGCCCGGUGGUGUUUGGCCACUGUCAGCGGGUGUGCUACACACCUCAUGGCACAAGGACAUCAGCAAUGACCCCUCCGGGACUGCAGGCUGCGAAUGGAUUUUUCAUGACUGCACCCAAGAGCAACAAGUCCCUCCCUACCGUAUGUCUGUACUGCCGACCAAGCGACAGCUGGAAUAGCAGAGCUGGAUUUUCACAAGGUGAAUGUGGCCACCUUAGAGCCUAUUCAGCAAGUAAGAAACUUCUGGCUGUACUGGACCCUCGGAAGACCCUCCUGGAGCUUAGCAACUUGCACUGGUGUGGAUGUGGGAUCAAGCCUGCCUUACUGGAGUCUCAUUCCACAGUGUCUGUGUAGACUUGCUUGGAAGAGGCAGGUGUGCAAUGGUUCCUACAGCUGAACCUACCCUGGUGUACUGCAGCUUUGCCAGAAAAACAGGGGCUUGUGAUCUCUAAGUGCUUAAGGUACAGCUGGGUCCAAAGCACAGCACACCCAUGUUGCCAUGAUUUACUUGUUUGAGCUAUUGUUCCGCAGAACGCCAGGGGAAGGGACACAAACUUAGCAGCUUUAUCAGCUCCUGUGUGUACAACAGUGUCUGUGCUCUGCAGUCUUCUUGUGCCUCCCCCAGAUUUGCAGUUGUAAAUGGAAUUCUAUUUUUUUUUAAGGAAAUCUGCCCUCCCCCCCAAAACUUAAGAGCUAUUUAAACAGUUGCAGGCAAUUAAGCAUGUGCCAUGUCCAGACCCUCCCCACGCUGCUGAUACAGUCAGAUGCCUGUUCACACAAGCCAUUGAUAUUUUUGUUUCAAAUCACACCAGCUAAAAUAAUAAUAAUCCAAAACACAGUAUUUCUUUAAUUCCAAAAUUUGUACAAGUUUACAAAUCAAUAUACCACCACACAAAGUAGUGAAAGGAAGAGAUGUUAAGCAACGUUUUAACGUUUUACUAUAUCAUAACAAUGUUCAAAUAUUGUUAAAUUUGACAUAGUAUUGCAAGAUUAUUUUUUUAAUAUAAAGAAUUUAUGCUUGAACAAGAAGAUACAGAUAAUACCAUUGCUUUCUUUGUUUCUAUCCAGUGCAGUAUGCAGCUUCUAGAAAAUAUUGGUGAAAUGCUGUAUCUAGUUCAUAUGAGCUUUAUUUCCAUUAAAAUCUUGAAAGAAAAUGGGAACACAAAGUGAAACAAGACCUUAUUAAUUAUUGAAGUUAAUAAAUAGAAACCUGUUUGAACAUUA